AUACGUAGGGGGCGAGCGUUGUCCGGAAUGAUUGGGCGUAAAGGGCGCGUAGGCGGCCUGUUAAGUCUGGAGUGAAAGUCCUGUUUUCAAGAUGGGAAUUGCUUUGGAUACUGAUGGGCUUGAGUGCUGGAGAGGUUAUCGGAAUUCCCGGUGUAGCGGUGAAAUGCGUAGAGAUCGGGAGGAACACCAGUGGCGAAGGCGGGUAACUGGACUGCAACUGACGCUGAGGCGCGAAAGUGUGGGGAGCAAACAGGAUUAGAUACCCUGGUAGUCCACACUGUAAACGAUGAAUGCUAGGUGUAAGAGGUAUCGACCCCUUUUGUGCCGGAGUUAACACAAUAAGCAUUCCGCCUGGGGAGUACGGCCGCAAGGUUGAAACUCAAAUGAAUUGACGGGG
rnacentral:rRNA from 1 species